UGGGGAAUAUUGGACAAUGGGCGCAAGCCUGAUCCAGCAAUGCCGCGUGUGUGAAGAAGGUCUUCGGAUUGUAAAGCACUUUCGACGGGGACGAUGAUGACGGUACCCGUAGAAGAAGCCCCGGCUAACUUCGUGCCAGCAGCCGCGGUAAUACGAAGGGGGCUAGCGUUGCUCGGAAUGACUGGGCGUAAAGGGCGCGUAGGCGGAGAUAUCAGUCAGAUGUGAAAUUCCUGGGCUUAACCUGGGGGCUGCAUUUGAGACGGUAUUUCUAGAGUGUGAAAGAGGGUCGUGGAAUUCCCAGUGUAGAGGUGAAAUUCGUAGAUAUUGGGAAGAACACCGGUGGCGAAGGCGGCGACCUGGUUCAUAACUGACGCUGAGGCGCGAAAGCGUGGGGAGCAAACAG
rnacentral:rRNA from 1 species